GGUGCGAUAGUUAAAUAAUAACAUUAAAUUGCAAAUUUAAAUUUAUACUAAUAGUAUUCCCACCU
rnacentral:tRNA from 1 species